AGACGUCUACAUUAGAUACCCGGGUAGUCCCAGCCGUAAACUAUGCGCGUUAGGUGUAUCGGUGACCACGAGUCACCGAGGUGCCGAAGGGAAACCGUGAAACGUGCCGCCUGGGAAGUACGGUCGCAAGGCUGAAACUUAAAGGAAUUGGAGGGGAGCACCACAACGGGUGGAGCCUGCGGUUUAAUUGGACUCAACGCCGGGAAGCUCACCGGAUAAGACAGCGGAAUGAUUGCCGGGCUGAAGACUCUGCAUGACUAGCUG
rnacentral:rRNA from 1 species